AAAAAUAUCAGAGUUGCUCCUGUGUCUGCACAGACAGAAUCUGUAAAUUUUAAUUUUUUGUCAUUUGGCUUCUAGAUGUCCUUGGCGUGUGCACCCUUGUGGAAUCCGGUUCAUCUCCAAUCUGUCAAGAAGCAUCAGAGGUGGUUUUGAUUCCUUAUGUCCUGAGUCUGUGCACAAAAUGUACCUUGUGUGGAAGAAAAUGAGAUCCCGAGUGAAGUCUACAAUGUCAUUGACUCUGAAGAAGGACUCAGAGACCCAUUGGUGUUUAAUGACCCUUACUGGCCUAUGCAAUGGGAACUGGACUUUGACCAACAUCAUAUUCUAAGAACUCAUGGAGUAUUUGAUUCACUGGCAUGAAAUCCUGUACAACAACAUCUGAGACCAAGAGAUACAUUUUUUUUGUAAA
rnacentral:lncRNA from 1 species